ensembl:lncRNA
CCUUUGUACAUGGGAUUCUCCAGGCAAAGAUACUGUAGUGGAUUGCCAUGCCCUCCUCCAGGGGAUUUUCUGGACUGGGGGAUCAAACCUGCGUUUCCUGUGGCUCCUGCAUUGCAGGUGAAUUCUUUACCUUUGAGUCACUGGGGAAGCCCCAUAAAGGAUGCUAAAUCCUGAACUUGUGCCUGUCAAUCACUUCAUCUCCACUACACCCUCUUGCUUGUUGGAGAGGGUGGAAAGCUAGGAGGUUGUUUAGUAGCUGGUAGGCCAUAUCCAUCUCAUUCUGGCAGUCAGUCCUGAAGGUCAAGUACUCCCUGAUUCUCCCUCCCUCCAGCCAGUUCAGCAAUUUUUGCCAGCACCCAAUAUCUGUAUUAAAUCUCAAUCUCUCCACAUAUUGAGAGUCUUCACAUUUCCUGUUUGAACCUAAUUCACUUAUUAACAGGCUUCAUUGAUAGAGGCAGUGAAUCCAUGACAAAGCAAGUAUCAGUCUUCAUGUGGUCAGACUGCUUGGAAAGCUGUGGUGUAGCAAAGAAGAAGUGGCCCCCUGGGGAGAGGUUGAAGGCUGUGUCCUGUGAGAAGCAGCUGAAGGAACUGGGAGUGUCCACCCCCUAAAGCUCAAGGAACAGGACUGCACCCUCCAAAUCUCCAAAGGGCAAAAGCAGACAUAGUCUGAGGGGUCCUAGAAGAUGGAGCCAGACCUGUGAGGCAUUUGAACUGAAGAUGGAAGACCCAGUCAAGACCCCGAGAGAGUUGCGGGGAAUGGAAGUUUAAAAAUAAAGCACCCCCUCUCCUGCCUCUCCUGUGAAGAACUAAAGAGCCUCUUGAUGAAAGUGAAAGAUGAGAGUGAAAAAGUUGGCUUAAAGCUCAACGUUCAGA